CCGGCGACCGGCGCACGGGUGAGUAACACGUAUGCGACCUGCCCCCCGCAGGGGGAUAACCGGGAGAAAUCCCGACUAAUACCGCGUAACGCCGCGGACCUGCAUGGGUCUGCGGCCAAAGGAAGCGAUCCCGGCGGGGGAUGGGCAUGCGGCGCAUUAGCUAGUCGGCGGGGUAACGGCCCACCGAGGCGACGAUGCGUAGGGGUUCUGAGAGGAAGGUCCCCCACACUGGUACUGAGACACGGACCAGACUCCUACGGGAGGCAGCAG
rnacentral:rRNA from 1 species